rnacentral:misc_RNA from 1 species
GAUGAAGAACGCAGCGAAAUGCGAUAAGUAAUGUGAAUUGCAGAAUUCAGUGAAUCAUCGAAUCUUUGAACGCACAUUGCGCCCGCUAGUAUUCUGGUGGGCAUGCCUGUCCGAGCGUCAUUUCAACCCUCAAGCCCCCGGGCUUGGUGUUGGGGAUCGGCGAGCCUCCGCGCCCGCCGUCCCCUAAAUCUAGUGGCGGUCUCGCUGUAGCUUCCUCUGCGUAGUAGCACACCUCGCACUGGGAAACAGCGCGGCCACGCCGUUAAACCCCCAACUUCUGAACGUUUGACCUCGGAUCAGGUAGGAAUACCCGCUGAACUUAAGCAUAUCAAUAAGCGGAGGA